UUCAGAUUGACUACAGUGGUGCAUGAUAUUACCUUUUUUCUUUUCAGUUUAGUUCCUUAUGUUGGAGUAAUGUGUCUAAAUUGUAAUACCAAAUAAUCUGUGAUGUUUUUGUUCCGUCAAUUUUAAUUGAAUUUCAUGGUAGUUUUGUGCAGAUGAUGCCUGCCAUUUCUAAAUAGUUAAAGACUUUCCUGCAAUGGGCAGUGCGCCACUUAAUUGUAUGUGACUCAGACUGACAGUUGCGAUGUUCAAAGAGCCUUUUCAAUUUAAUUACAACUGACAUUUAUAUCUUUUUCCUUUCAGCCAGCUUGCUACAAGAAUAUCUUCUGGAAAUUGGAUGUUGAUGAAAAAUCAGAACAUCCCUGCUGGUUCAGUAGACUGUGGAAUAGACAUGUUGAUGGUAUUUGAAUAUUAACUGCUGUUGUAUCUGAAAAGGUGUCAUCCAAAUGGUUUAAAAAUGAUGAAGAUCCUAAAGGUCACCGGGUAAUGACCUCUAUACAAUAGAAGAUGAGGAG